GCAGGAGUGGCGGAAGUGGUAGACGCGCUGGACUUAGGAUCCAGUCCCGAAAGGGGUGGGGGUUCGAGUCCCUUCUCUUGCACCA
rnacentral:tRNA from 1 species